rnacentral:tRNA from 1 species
GCCCGAAUGGCUCAGUGGUAGAGCGAGUACUUGGUAAGUACUAGGCCGAGGGUUCGAUUCCCUCUUCGGGCU